AACCAACAGGGAUUGCCCUAGUAACGGCGAGUGAAGCGGCAACAGCUCAAAUUUGAAAUCUGGCUCUUUCAGAGUCCGAGUUGUAAUUUGCAGAGGGCGCUUUGGCUUUGGCAGCGGUCCAAGUUCCUUGGAACAGGACGUCACAGAGGGUGAGAAUCCCGUACGUGGUCGCUAGCUAUUGCCGUGUAAAGCCCCUUCGACGAGUCGAGUUGUUUGGGAAUGCAGCUCUAAAUGGGAGGUAAAUUUCUUCUAAAGCUAAAUAUUGGCCAGAGACCGAUAGCGCACAAGUAGAGUGAUCGAAAGAUGAAAAGCACUUUGGAAAGAGAGUCAAACAGCACGUGAAAUUGUUGAAAGGGAAGCGCUUGCAGCCAGACUUGCUUGCAGUUGCUCAUCCGGGCUUUUGCCCGGUGCACUCUUCUGCAGGCAGGCCAGCAUCAGUUUGGGCGGUGGGAUAAAGGUCUCUGUCAUGUACCUCUCUUCGGGGAGGCCUUAUAGGGGAGGCGACAUACCACCAGCCUAGACUGAGGUCCGCGCAUCUGCUAGGAUGCUGGCGUAAUGGCUGUAAGCGGCCCGUCUUGAAACACGGACCAAGGAGUCUAACAUCUAUGCGAGUGUUUGGGUGUCAAGCCCGAGCGCGUAAUGAAAGUGAACGGAGGUGGGAACCCGCAAGGGUGCACCAUCGACCGAUCCUGAAGUUUACGGAAGGAUUUGAGUAAGAGCAUGGCUGUUGGGACCCGAAAGAUGGUGAACUAUGCUUGAAUAGGGUGAAGCCAGAGGAAACUCUGGUGGAGGCUCGCAGCGGUUCUGACGUGCAAAUCGAUCGUCAAAUUUGGGCAUAGGGGCGAAAGACUAAUCGAACUAUCUAGUAGCUGGGUU
rnacentral:rRNA from 1 species